rnacentral:rRNA from 1 species
UGGCGGACGGGUGAGUAAUGUCUGGGAAACUGCCUGAUGGAGGGGGAUAACUACUGGAAACGGUAGCUAAUACCGCAUAACGUCGCAAGACCAAAGAGGGGGACCUUCGGGCCUCUUGCCAUCGGAUGUGCCCAGAUGGGAUUAGCUAGUAGGUGGGGUAACGGCUCACCAAGGCGACGAUCCCUAGCUGGUCUGAGAGGAUGACCAGCCACACUGGAACUGAGACACGGUCCAGACUCCUACGGGAGGCAGCAUG